CUACGGGACGCACCAGUGGGGAAUAUUGGACAAUGGGCGAAAGCCUGAUCCAGCAAUGCCGCGUGAGCGAUGAAGGCCUUAGGGUUGUAAAGCUCUUUUACCAGGGAUGAUAAUGACAGUACCUGGAGAAUAAGCUCCGGCUAACUCCGUGCCAGCAGCCGCGGUAAUACGGAGGGAGCUAGCGUUGUUCGGAAUUACUGGGCGUAAAGCGCGCGUAGGCGGCUCAUCAAGUCAGGGGUGAAAUCCCGGGGCUCAACCCCGGAACUGCCUUUGAAACUAGUGAGCUAGAAUCUUGGAGAGGUCAGUGGAAUUCCGAGUGUAGAGGUGAAAUUCGUAGAUAUUCGGAAGAACACCAGUGGCGAAGGCGACUGACUGGACAAGUAUUGACGCUGAGGUGCGAAAGCGUGGGGAGCAAACAGGAUUAGAUACCCCCGUAGUC
rnacentral:rRNA from 1 species